rnacentral:lncRNA from 1 species
UUUAGGACGACUCAGGGUUAAACUGUCAACCCUGAUGAGAUCAUCCGAAUCGUGCUCAACUCAAUUAGUCCUGUGACUCCUCACUAGGACUACCCUGGCCAAAGUUUUGCUAAAUUGAAAUACGACUGUACACAGCUCCUAAACUGGAGUGAUCAAUCUCAUCUUGACACACGCACCGACAAGUCAAGUACUUGACUAC